rnacentral:rRNA from 1 species
UACGUAGGGUGCAAGCGUUGUCCGGAAUUAUUGGGCGUAAAGGGCUCGUAGGCGGUCUGUCACGUCGGGAGUGAAAACUCAGGGCUUAACCCUGAGCCUGCUUCCGAUACGGGCAGACUAGAGGUAUGCAGGGGAGAACGGAAUUCCUGGUGUAGCGGUGAAAUGCGCAGAUAUCAGGAGGAACACCGGUGGCGAAGGCGGUUCUCUGGGCAUUACCUGACGCUGAGGCGCGAAAGCGUGGGGAGCAAACAGG